UGGGUUAACAUAAACAAAAGGUCGUAGUUCAAACAUGUACAAGGAUUCUAAUAUAUAUAUACAGAGUUACACAACAAAAGGUGAUCGAACUAUAUGUAUGGAGACAUAUAGCCGAGAGUAUAUUUCUUAACUAAGCCAAGAAUGACUUCAAAAACAUCAUGCUGCCAUAGAGGCGGAAAAGCAUCAAAAGGUGAUCACUCGAAACAACGAUCCCUGCCAACACCAUGCCAU
rnacentral:lncRNA from 1 species